ACAUGAAAAAUCAUCGUUGUUAUUCAACUAUGAGAACCCUA
rnacentral:tRNA from 1 species